AUUGAACGCUGGCGGCAGGCUUAACACAUGCAAGUCGAGCGGAGUGAUGGUGCUUGCACUAUCACUUAGCGGCGGACGGGUGAGUAAUGCUUAGGAAUCUGCCUAUUAGUGGGGGACAACAUCUCGAAAGGGAUGCUAAUACCGCAUACGUCCUACGGGAGAAAGCAGGGGAUCACUUGUGACCUUGCGCUAAUAGAUGAGCCUCAGUCGGAUUAGCUAGUUGGUGGAGUAAAGGCCUACCAAGGCGACGAUCUGUAGCGGGUCUGAGAGGAUGAUCCGCCACACUGGGACGGGGACACGGCCCCGACUCAUACGGGAGGGAGCAGGGGGGAGUAGUGGACAAUGGGGGGGACCCUGAUCCAGCCACGCCGCGUGUGUGAAGAAGGCCUUAUGGUUGUAAAGCACUUUAAGCGAGGAGGAGGCUCUUUUGGUUAAUACCCAAGAUGAGUGGACGUUACUCGCAGAAUAAGCACCGGCUAACUCUGUGCCAGCAGCCGCGGUAA
rnacentral:rRNA from 1 species